CCGGGGGUUGGGGACCACUGCUCUAUAGCGUCGUUUUGAAGGACUCAGUUUCAUUUUCAAUCCCAAAUACUAUUUUGCAGUAUAAAAGAGAGAACUGUGAACUCUAUGCAAUAGAUUGAUCAAUCCAGGUGAUGUCGGAGCCAAGGUGGCGCAGUGGUUAAAUGCAGCACUGCAGGCUACUGCUAGAUCAGCAGUCAGGUAUCUCCUGUCCUAUAAACUGGGAACUUGAUACUAGCAAUUGAACUUCAGUGUUUCUGCAGGCUGAUCAAAUAUCUCCCCUCUGACCCCACCCAUCAUGGAAGGAAUCAGGCUAACAAAUGGAUUAGGUCAUCAAUUUGCAAGGAGUAGGUAAAACUGCAGACCAGAAAUAGGAUUCAGGUCUUUUCCAUAUAUAUAUAUGGGAAUCUGCAUGGAUAUGUGAUAUAUAUCAUGACUUCGAUGCAUUAACAAUGUUAAUGCAAGUACACAAUGGCAUAAUUCACACAAUGGCUUCAGUUGGAACUUUUGAUGCUAUAGCAGCUUGCGAAAGGUCUCAAGCUCAGAUGCUUUGGCCACCCAAUGAGAAGAGAGGACUCAUGGGAAAAGAAAACCCUGAUCUUGGGAAAGACUGAAGGCAAAAGGAGGAGGGGACAGGAGAUGAUGUCGAGAUGGUUAGAUAGUGUCAUCAACUCAAGGAACAUGAAUUUGAGAAACUUCAGGAGACAGUGGAGGACGGUGUCGAGGUGUAACACUCUGCUAUGGUCCAUGGGAUCGCAAAGAGUUGGACACGUCUUAGAGACUGAACCACAAGGUUCUCACCCCCUGACUUUGCAAGGAUUGCCUUUCAGCCAGAUUUCAG